GCGGCGAGUUUAUACCCCAUAAUAUGCGUGUACGUAUCUUUCUAGACUUCCACUGCCGAUGGGCCAGACCCUGGUCCAAGGAUGGGGUAUUCUCUCAUGUCUGUUUUAAACUUUUAUUAAUUCGAACUGUGUUCUUGACUGGUGCACUUCAGACCAAUUUACUGCAUGGAAUACGUAUUUGAAGCCAGCCACCCCCAGUUAGAAAGAUUUCAGGACUGAGUCGUGACUCGUAAGGCAUAUUAGUACAUCAGCGACCACGCUAAGAAAGCAUAGAUUGGGCGAGUAAAACGCUGCGGGACCGGCUCACGUUUCCCAUCCAGGUAAGAUUCGAUGCGUGUAGCUUUGGAGCCAUGCUUUCUGGGCAGAGGGGACCAGAUAGCAGGGCAUAUGAUUCGCUUGUAGAGACUAUUCCAUCACGAGCUAGAAACGUUCCUUUGCCCAAUCUCAAAAGUCUCUCAUCGCUAGUAGAACGUGCCCACUUUCUAUUCCGUAGUAACUUACUACGUACGUAGU
rnacentral:lncRNA from 1 species